GCAUUAUAGCUCAAUGGCAAAGUACAUGCUUUGUGUGCAAAAGGUCCUAGGUUCAAUCCUUGGCAUUUGCA